rnacentral:lncRNA from 12 species
UUUGCUCAUCCUCAGGUUCUGCAAAUCCUGCAGCAUUUGUGAAGUCAGCUCAGCCCUCACAGCAGGUGGAACCUCCCAACCCUGCAGCAGCUGUGCACAGACUUGAUCUUUAGGUUUUCACACACAGUCCUCAACCUCCCCUGCCCAAGCUUUCUUUCCCUGCUUUUUUUUUUUUAAUGCAGAAAGCAGUAACCCUUUGGCCCAGCUAGCCCCCCACUAUCAGAUUCCAACAGAGGAAUUCUGGGCACAAAGCUUCACAGAGCAAACAGAGAGGAAGGCGGUCUCCCCACCCCACUGGAAGACUGGAACUAGCAGAAACCCUGUACCUUUUUGCUCGUGAUGAUUCAGAUGUCCACGUGGGUCCUGGGGCCAUGACCAGAACACCCAGCUAUAUCUAGGAUGGGUAAUGCCAGC